rnacentral:rRNA from 1 species
GACAGAGGAUGCAAGCGUUAUCCGGAAUGAUUGGGCGUAAAGCGUCUGUAGGUGGCUUUCUAAGUCAGGGGUGAAAUCCUGGAGCUCAACUCCAGAACUGCCUUUGAUACUGGAGAGCUUGAGUCCGGAAGAGGUGAGUGGAACUCCGAGUGUAGAGGUGAAAUUCGUAGAUAUUCGGAAGAACACCAGUGGCGAAGGCGGCUCACUGGUCCGGUACUGACGCUGAUGUGCGAAAGCGUGGGGAGCAAACAGG